UACGAAGGGGGCUAGCGUUGUUCGGAAUUACUGGGCGUAAAGCGCGCGCAGGUGGUUUUGCAAGUCAGGGGUGAAAGCCCAGAGCUCAACUCUGGAACUGCCUUUGAGACUGUAAGACUUGGGUACGGGAGAGGUGAGUGGAAUUCCGAGUGUAGAGGUGAAAUUCGUAGAUAUUCGGAAGAACACCAGUGGCGAAGGCGGCUCACUGGCCCGUUACCGACACUCAGGCGCGAUAGCGUGGGGAGCAAACAG
rnacentral:rRNA from 1 species